UCUAGGUUUCACUAUGAUUUUGUUUCUUUUUCACCUGGUAGGAGCUUUGAGAUUCGAAAUUGGUUUCACGUUUUUUUUCUCUUCUUCUUAUUCUAGAUCUGGUUUCAAGUUUCAAAGCCAUCGUUUUCCAAGAAAAACUCAAGAUUUGUGUAUGUAGAUGGUGUAAUUUCAGUAUCAUUUUUUAUUAUUAUGGAUAGCUGGAGAGGUAGCUUAUGUUUCUUAUUGAAGCGAAAGAGAGUCUUAUAUUCCUUUUGAAGAAGAUGGUGCCUUUUUUGGGCAUUCAUUAAUUUUUCAGCGGUAUUGUUCAUCAAUUUGUAUUUUUUAGGUUUUCUCAUUGAUUUUUUUAAUUGUGAUUUUUGUCUAAGUUGGAUAGAUGUAAGAUUUUUUUUUAACGGGUUUUCCACUAAUUUUAAAUUGACACUCUUUUUCUCUGAUUUCAA